rnacentral:lncRNA from 1 species
UGACAAUGGUGACCUCAGCCUGUGGACAGGAAGGAUUGCUUGAGAGUUGGCAACAGUGGAAUUAUUCCCUCCUCAGGAGACUCCUGAAUGGCUUCAUGAAAUACCAUUAUAGGAGCUGGGUCAGCAAGACAGCCCUGCUAGGUCUCACUGGGUCACUGGCACUGGAGUUGGCUCCCAAGAACACCUGGUGAAUUGUCUGGUUCCAGGAAUUAUUAAGACUGACUUCAGCAAAGUGAUUUAUAGCAAUGAGGCUCUCUGGAACCACUUAAAGGAGAAUUACCAGCUACAGAGGCAAUUCUUUUAACAGCUGAGAUAGCUCUGCAGCUCCAAGGCCCACCUCUUAAUACCAUCACAUUGGCUGUUAGGAUUCAAUGCCUGAAUUUUGGAAGAGACACACCCAUAGCUAGGCAGUGACUUCAGGAGAGCCUUCAUCCAGUGGCUGAUGGAAGCAGAAGCAGAGAUCCACAGUUAAACACUGAACUGAACUCUGGAAUCCAGUUUCAGAGAGGGAGGAGUGACCAACAAAGGGAUCAAGACCACACUGGGCAAACCUGCAGAAACAGCUGACCUGAGAAAGUGGGAACUCAUGAAACCCAGUCUGACAGCUGGGGAACCAACACAGGACCAAACCAGGCUCCCUAAACAGCUUUCAUCCAGUAGCUGAUGGAAGCAGAAGCAGGAACCCACAGCUAAACACUUAGCCAUACUACUGGAAUCCAGGGAGGAGGGAUGAACAAAGCAGUCAAGACCGUGCUGGAGAAACCUACAGAACCAGCUGACCUGACCUAGUGAGAGCACACAGACCCCAGUCGUAAAGCUGGGGAACCAGCAUUAGGCUGAACCAAACCCUCUGAAUGUGGGUGCCAGUUAGGAGGCCUGGGCAGGCUAUGGUACCUCCAAGAGUGGAACCAGAGCACAAAUGAACUUUGGGAGCCCAUUCCCUAUGGAGGGGUACUAUUGCAGCCCUAUCUGCUGCAAGGAGGAGGGCCUAGGCCCUCCCUGAAAUGAUGUGACAGACUUUGAUGAUCCUCCAUGGAAGGCUUCACCGUCCUUGGGGAGCAGGUGGGGGG